CUUCUAAUACUGUACCUAACAUAUAGCAUGUACUCAAUAAACAUCUGAAAAGAUGAGUGGGUCUUCAUUAACCAGAUUUUCACUGAUUGGACUUCAUGGACAAAUUUUAAAGAUCAGCUUCUGAGCUUGGCAUGAAGACAGAAAGAUAUGAGGCUUCCAAUCACUCAGCCAUCAUCCACCCAUUCCAGGGCCAGCUUUAUAGAAAUCUGCAUACUUGAAGUAUGAUGAUCUUCUUCAACAUUACAAUCACCAAAAUAAUUUUAAACAAUCAAGCAAACCAACAACAGCAGCAGCAGCAGCAGCAGCAGCAGCAGCAGCAGCAGCAACAGCAGCAGCAAACAACAUGGUAGCGCCAGGUUUUAAAAUCCCUACUGCUCCAAGUUUUCUGAACAUCAUGCUCUUUAGCAAAAAGACCUAAUUUGCAAUCAGGCUGGGUAAAGCCAGCCAGUCAUUACUUUCUUAAUGGCCGACUACCAUAAGGCUCAGUUAAGUGAUCUCAACUAGCAACUAAUCAAUUAAAAUUGAUAAGUGAAA